rnacentral:lncRNA from 1 species
AGCUGCACCUGCAGCAUAUGGACAUUCCUAGGCUAAGGGUUGAAUGGGAGCUGCAGCUGCCAGCCUACAACACAGCCACAGCAAUGCCAGAUCCUUAACCCACUGAAUGAGGCCAGGGAUCAAACCCUCAUCCUCAUGGAGACUAUGUCUGUGCCUGGAAAGCUCUACAAAGAGGCCACUGGCUCCUCCAGCUCUCCCUGAUUUCAGCAGCCUGCUUUCUGAUGUUUCCUCUCAUUCUUCUUUACCUGGAAUUCAUUCGGGGCUGCCGGAUUUGUUUAACCAUCCACACAAUCAACACACCUUAUUUAUUUUCUAAAGGGCUGAUUCUAACGUGCACUGAGGCGAGCAAACACUUUUAUUCACGUCAGCAGCUCCCCCGGCAGCCUGUGGUCAGCCCAUCUUCAGCACGCUUCAUCUCCAAGGCCCAACGUACUGGCCCCACUCCAGCCCCCAGGGGUGAAUCACCAACAGUGGGAAGUUUCCUUUAGCAGGUUGAUCAGGAACACAAGGGACUUCGUGGCUUCCUGUCUAAGAGAAACGGCAGUUGCUCCCUGACCCCGUCCUGUCCAGUAUCCACAGCUUGGAGAACAGGGAGGAAAAGGCACAGAUUUCAUUGGGUCUAUGCCUUGUCAUCUUGCACCUGUCAGCCAGGAGUAUUAUCCAAAAUACACACCUGGUAUGAUGCCAGCCCUGACCAACAAAAAAGAUACAAGUCGAAAAUAGUUGGUAAGGCCAUCCUGGUGCAAACUAGCUGAACUUCAACCCUGUCAUCCACGAACCUGGGAGCUUUUUAUUUAUACCUGGCAUUAUCUACCAUUACUGAGCGCUUCGGAGUGCAAGGCACUGUUGUACAGGCUUUAAUUCAUUUCAUUUUCAUUGAAAAUUCUAUUGAGGUGGUAUAAGGGGUUAAACUGUAUCUCUGCCCCCAAAUUCAUAUGUUGAAGUCCUAAGCUCCAGUAGCACCUCAGAAAGUGACUGUAUUUGGAGACAGGUCAUUGUAGAGGCAAUUGAGUCAAAAUGAGGUCAUUAGGCAGACCCUAAUCCGAUACGAUUCAUGUCUUCAUUAAAAGGGGAAUGACCCUAAUCCAGUACGACUGGUGUCUUCAUUAAAAGGGGAAAUUUGGGUGUGGACCCUCAUCUCGAGAGGAUGUGAUGCCGUGUGAAGAUGAAGGCAGAAAUCAGAGUGAUGCACCUAUAGGCCAAGAAACACCAAAAACUGCCAGCAAAUCACCAGAAACUCAGUGACAGGCAUGGAACAGAGUUUUGCUCACACCACCUCAGAAGGAACCAACCUUGCCAGCACCUUGAUCUUAGGUUACUAGGCUCCAGAACUGUGGCACCACACGUUUCUGUUGUUUAGGUCACUCCCUCUGUGGUACUUUGUUAUGGCAGCUCUAGCAAACUAAUCCAAGUGGGAAAUAGAAUUCUCUCAUGUUGUAAAUGGAAAAUGGGGCACAGAGAGGUUAAGUACUUCCCCAGUGGCACACAGCUCGCAAGAGGCAGCCAGUCUGUUCCAGCAUCUGUCUUACCUCCAUUAGAAGGGGGUAUUUGCCCAGCUCCAGGCUCAGGGACCCAGCUUCCUGGCAUACCUCCACAGCCUCUGUUGGGAGGGAGUUUCCUCUUGAAUUACAGGCAGGGCUUCAACAGUCCAGACCCUUCUUCUAGCAAAGAUGGCAGAAUGAGCUGGCUUAGACAUGGCCUCACGAGGAGGAGAACAUGGGCUGCCAAGUUCAUUCACUCCUUCCUCUUUGCUCUGGGAUGAUGCACAAUUUAACCUUUGUUUCAAAGGAAAAGCAGUUGCUUAAGACUAAACCAGAAUUGGCUUCAGGCACUGUGGUUAAGAAGACAGAUUCUGGAACAACUGCCCACUUCUUAGCUGUGUUAUAUGUCUGUUCCCACAAUGUAACAUAGGAUUGUGAUACUGACCCCCCCGUAUUCGUUUGCGGGCGCUGCUACACCGAAGGACCACACUGAGUGGCUCGCACAACAGAAGUUUGUUGUCUCGAGAGUUCUGGCGGCUGGCUUUUAUCAGGAGGAAAGAGUUAACAUGAUGCUGAUGGUGCAUGGCAGAGACUGUAAAACAAAGCAUUAUGGUCGUGGACAGCACCAAAUCACGGCAACGAAGGAGCAGCUAUUUUCCUGAAAGCCUGUUUCACCAGCUUGCCUUCCCUGGACAGGAAAGCCUGGGGUGGGCAGGUGUGGAGAGAGAGACUUCCAAGGAUCAUCGUUUCCAGGUGAUUUUAUCGUAACAGCUUCCCAAAUGUGCUCCGUGUCCCUCUGGUUGUGUUCCUUCCAAACCGUUCUGCACGUUUCAGCCAGGGCUUUCCUGCUGAAAUGGUAAAUCUGACCGUAUGUCUCUGCCGUCCACAGUCCUUCUGUAAUCUCCCGGAGCCUUGGCCUCCUUGCUGGCCUCAAAGUCCAUCCUGCACUGGCUCUGGCUUCUGGCCACAUGUCUCACCUGUCCCCAGGGCCACACACUCAGGGUUCACUUUAUCCCCUAGUUUCCCAAUUACCACCAGCUUUCUUGGUGUCUCUGCUCUCGGGCUGGGCUUCUUCUGCCAGGAACAUGCCAUCCAGGGCCUCCUCCUCCCGACUCCACCUUUAAGACUCAGUUCCAGCAUUAAGUCCUUGCGAAUUCUUCUUGGACCAGCCUAGCUGGGUCCCAGGGCUUCUCGUGCCCACCCACUGUUCCGGGGUCUUUCAGGACCAUCGACUUCUUCACACUUAUCACCGUGAGUGGUCCAUGUGUCUGGGUCACCCACCUUCUUGGGAACAAGGACUGUUUUUUCAUGUCUUUGUGUUAAAACCUCCCCUGUCGGAGUUCCUGUCAUGGCGCAGUGGUUAACGAAUCCGACUAGGAACCAUGAGGUUUCGAGUUUGAUCCCUGCCCUUGCUCAGUGGGUUAACGAUCUGGCAUUGCAGUGAGCUGUGGUGUAGGUUGAGGAUGUGGCUUGGAUCCCACGUUCCUGUGGCUCUGGUGUAGGCUGGCAGCUACAGCUCCGAUUUAGACCCCUAGCCUGGGAACCUCCAUAUGC